rnacentral:rRNA from 1 species
GAUGAACGCUGGCGGCGUGCUUAACACAUGCAAGUCGAACGAAGCAUUUAAGACAGAUUACUUCGGUUUGAAGUCUUUUAUGACUGAGUGGCGGACGGGUGAGUAACGCGUGGGUAACCUGCCUCAUACAGGGGGAUAGCAGCUGGAAACGGCUGGUAAUACCGCAUAAGCGCACAGUACCACAUGGUACAGUGUGAAAAACUCCGGUGGUAUGAGAUGGACCCGCGUCUGAUUAGCUUGUUGGCGGGGUAACGGCCCACCAAGGCGACGAUCAGUAGCCGACCUGAGAGGGUGACCGGCCACAUUGGGACUGAGACACGGCCCAGACUCCUACGGGAGGCAGCAGUGGGGAAUAUUGCACAAUGGAGGAAACUCUGAUGCAGCGACGCCGCGUGAGUGAAGAAGUAGUUCGCUAUGUAAAGCUCUAUCAGCAAGGAAGAUAGUGACGGUACCUGACUAAGAAGCUCCGGCUAAAUACGUG